CAAAACCCUGACUGUGCUUCCUGUCACCCUUUUAAAGCACAGUGCCUCGCCCACACUUAAGCUCCACCCAGUUGAGGAAGGUGCCGCUGAUGAGAACGAUGAUGAGAUGAAGGACAGUGUUAAGGCCCCAGCCGGCCUGCCCAACCUACUGAUGGCAGAAGAAGAGCUACGCCCAGUGUCUGCAGCCAGUUAUACCAGUGCUGUGGUCCAUGAAAGACUUGCUGAGCUGCUCAAGCUGUUCAAAGAAAGGACUGAACGGCAAAAGGACAGGCUUGUUGACCCGGAUGAGUCAGAUGA